UACGGGGGGGGUAAGCGUUGUUCGGAAUUACUGGGCGUAAAGGGCUCGUAGGCGGCCAACUAAGUCAGACGUGAAAUCCCUCAGCUUAACUGGGGAACUGCGUCUGAUACUGGGAGGCUUGAGUGCGGGAGAGGGAUGUGGAAUUCCAGGUGUAGCGGUGAAAUGCGUAGAUAUCUGGAGGAAUACCGGUGGCGAAGGCGGCAUCCUGGACCGGCAUUGACGCUGAGGAGCGAAAGCCAGGGGAGCAAACGGG
rnacentral:rRNA from 1 species